rnacentral:rRNA from 1 species
CCUACGGGUGGCAGCAGUGGGGAAUAUUGCACAAUGGGGGAAACCCUGAUGCAGCGACGCCGCGUGAGUGAGGAAGUAUUUCGGUAUGUAAAGCUCUAUCAGCAGGGAAGAAAAUGACGGUACCUGACUAAGAAGCCCCGGCUAACUACGUGCCAGCAGCCGCGGUAAUACGUAGGGGGCAAGCGUUAUCCGGAUUUACUGGGUGUAAAGGGAGCGUAGACGGAUAAGCAAGUCUGAUGUGAAAAUCCGGGGCUCAACCCCGGAAUUGCAUUGGAAACUGCAUAUCUAGAGUGUCGGAGAGGCAAGUAGAAUUCCUGGUGUAGCGGUGAAAUGCGUAGAUAUCAGGAGGAACACCAGUGGCGAAGGCGGCUUGCUGGACGAUGACUGACGUUGAGGCUCGAAAGCGUGGGGAGCAAACAGGAUUAGAUACCCGGGUAGUC